CUCCUGGGACAAGACCUCCAUUCAUGAUCUCAGCAACUGCAUUCGGCCAUACCAGCUUGGCACUUCACUUGAGCCAGUCAACAUCACUGGAGUCAAGGUAUCUUUAAGUUGUUAAUGCUAUCAAGUGGGAAGAGGGGUAAAAUCGUUGGGACGUCCUCUAGAAGACUGCAAAACCCACAGUAUUUUCUCCGAAGAGAAAACAAGGGCAAAUCAUCAGGGAAGAGAAAGGAGGCCUGAAGAAUUAGACUCAUGAUUGAAGUUUGGAGAGGAAGCUUGAGGA